GGGAGGCAAGCCAGUAAAGAACAUCCCUCCAUGGCCUCUGCAUCAGCUCCUGCUUCCUGACCUGCUUGAGUUCCAGUCCUGGCUUCCUUGGUGAUGAACAGCAGUAUGGAAAUGUAAGCCGAAUAAACCCUUUCCUCCCCAACUUGCUUCUUGGUCAUGAUGUUUGUGCAGGAAUACAAACCCUGACUAAGACAAAUUGGUACCAGCAGAGUGGGGUAUUCCUGUGACAAUCUGACCAUGUUUUGGGGAGGACUGUGGAAGGACUUUGGAACUUUGGGCUUGAAGAUCCAUCCGUUGUUAAGAGCUCUGUCGGAUGUCAUGUAGGAGCUUGGAAGAUAAUGUUGAGAACACUGCAGAAGAUGGAGCUCUGGUUUGUGAAAUUUCAGAGGGAAAAUUAAAGACUCUUUUCAGGGCCAUUGCUGUUUUGUUUGUGAAGAUUCUGUAGUUCUGGUUAGCUGGGGCUGAAGAAUCAGCUGUGAUUAACAAGAUACCAGAACUACCAAGCAAAAACUUUGCAUUACUGGGACUAUUGAUGCUGGUUAGCUGGAGCUAAGAAAUUAGCGGUGAUUAAGAAGAGACCAGCAUCAUUGAGGUGACAUCUUCUGGGAAGUGUUUUCUGAAAGCACAAAGAGGCAGUGUUCCAGAGAUGGCCAAGGAUGUACUCCUGCUGCAGUGGGACUUGGUAAUAUGUAAGGGUCACCCAGGUGGUACUGGUUUUGAAGGCAUGAAGGGGUCACGCAAAGCAGCUGAGGUUCGGUACUGUGAGAGGCCAUGGAAGGCCAUUGGUGAAGGUGCAGCCUCAGUUGCAAUUGAAGGCCCAGGACUGAAGGGGUCAUGCAGUGUUUUGGAGAUGCCAGUACCAUGAGAUGACCACCAAGAGCAGCAGCAGCAGUGGGGUACAGGCAUCUGGAGCCUAGAGGACGAUGCGUGUGCUACAAAGGGCCUGGCUGGAGAAGUUACCCAAGCCCUUGGAGGAGCCCAGAAGAUCGUGAGUUGGAUCCCAGACAUUGGACGGUUGGAGAUUGACUUUUGCUUUUGAUUGUGACUGUGCCCUGAUAUUUUCCCUCUUGAAGGAAGAAACUGUUUUAGUGGAGCCCACAGUUAAGAGACUUUUAAUUGUAAAAAGACUUUGGAUUUUAAAAGAGAUGGAUAUUUUAAAGAGAUUGAAAUUUUAAGAAUAUGUAAAGGCUGUGGGACUUUUAAAGUUAUUUAGAUCUUGGGGAUGAAUAAGAUUGUAAGGGUUGAGGCUUACUAGUGAUGUUUUUGUGUGUCAAGUUGACAAGGGGUCAAUUGUACUGGCUAAUUUUGUGUCAACUUGACACAGCUGGAGUUAUCACAGAGAAAGGAGCUUCUGUUGAGGAAAUGCCUCCAUGAGAUCCAACUGUAAGGCAUUUUCUCAAUUAGUGAUCAAGGGGGAAAGGCCCCUUGUGGGUGAGACCAUCCCUGGCUGGUAGUCUUGGGUUUUAUAAGAGAGCAGGCUGAGCAAGCCAGGGGAGGCAAGCCAGUAAAGAACAUCCCUCCAUGGCCUCUGCAUCAGCUCCUGCUUCCUGACCUGCUUGAGUUCCAGUCCUGGCUUCCUUGGUGAUGAACAGCAGUAUGGAAAUGUAAAUUUGAACUCUAGGAGUGGCUCAGGGUAUGAAUGUACAGAGCCAAGACCAUGGGAAGACACAAAGAGAGGGUGACUAAGUGGAAGAAGUCCUUGGGAGAGUCCAGUCUGUAGCACACUGAUCUUUGUCACCUAUUCUUCAGUAUGAUAAGGUAAAUUUCUACUGCUUAACCUACCCAGUCUGCAGUGUUUUUGUUAUAACAGCCACAGCUAACUGAUACAGAUAAUAGCAUCUUAUACUUGUUUAAAUGCAUCUUUGCCCUCUUGUGCCUCAUGAAAUGUUCAGGGUGCAAUUUAUGCAGCAUUUAACACCUAUUAUAUCUAUCUUGUCUGAACUUGUAUUACCUUUUCAACUUGCUCAUUAAACACAUUUCAUGCAAUUUACUUCAUGAUACACUUCUAUUGAGUUUUUGGAACUUGCUGUCCAUCUCUAGUGAGCAUGACUUAACCAUUUGUUUGAACAGGUGAUGUAUGCUUGUGGUAAAUAUUUUAGACAGUAUGAAAGAUGAUAUGGCAAAACAUGUGGCUAACUCACCCCUUAGUUCCCUGUGCCCUAAGUUUUCUCCCCUAGAGGCAACUCUUACUAUCAGUGUACUCUUCGAAUUUCUAGGGAUCUAUAUCCUUGUUGAAAACACAUGUAUGUACAAUAUAUACAAACAAGAUAGACAUGUAGUAUAUAGUUAUGCAAAUCUAUGUUUUAUG
rnacentral:lncRNA from 1 species